UACGUAGGGUGCGAGCGUUAAUCGGAAUUACUGGGCGUAAAGCGUGCGCAGGCGGCUUUGCAAGACAGAGGUGAAAUCCCCGGGCUCAACCUGGGAACUGCCUUUGUGACUGCAAGGCUAGAGUACGGCAGAGGGGGAUGGAAUUCCGCGUGUAGCAGUGAAAUGCGUAGAUAUGCGGAGGAACACCGAUGGCGAAGGCAAUCCCCUGGGCCUGUACUGACGCUCAUGCACGAAAGCGUGGGGAGCAAACAGGAUUAGAUAC
rnacentral:rRNA from 1 species